ensembl:snRNA U6 U6 spliceosomal RNA
GUGCUUGCUUUGGUAACACAUAUACUAAAAUUGGAAUGAUAUAGCAAAGAUUAACAUGGCCUCUCUGUAAAGAUGAGAUGCAAGUUUGUGAAGUAUUCUAUACUUCU